UGCUUGGCGACCAUAGCGAUUUGGACCCACCUGAUCUUCCAUUCCGAACUCAGAAGUGAAACGAAUUAGCGCCGAUGGUAGUGUGGGGCUUCCCCAUGUGAGAGUAGGACAUCGCCAGGCUU
rnacentral:rRNA from 1 species